UACGUAGGGUGCAAGCGUUAAUCGGAAUUACUGGGCGUAAAGCGUGCGCAGGCGGUUAUGUAAGACAGUUGUGAAAUCCCCGGGCUCAACCUGGGAAUUGCAUCUGUGACUGCAUCGCUAGAGUACGGUAGAGGGGGAUGGAAUUCCGCGUGUAGCAGUGAAAUGCGUAGAUAUGCGGAGGAACACCGAUGGCGAAGGCAAUCCCCUGGACCUGUACUGACGCUCAUGCACGAAAGCGUGGGGAGCGAACAGG
rnacentral:rRNA from 1 species